rnacentral:rRNA from 1 species
AGUUUGAUCCUGCGUCAGGAUGACGCUGGCGGCGUGCUUAACACAUGCAAGUCGAGCGAAGCAUACAGGAGGAAGUUUUCGGAUGGAAGUCCUGCAUGACUGAGCGGCGGACGGGUGAGUAACGCGUGGGUAACCUGCCUUAUACAGGGGGAUAACAGUUAGAAAUGACUGCUAAUACCGCAUAAGCGCACAGUACCGCAUGGUAGUGUGUGAAAAACUCCGGUGGUAUAAGAUGGACCCGCGUCUGAUUAGCCAGUUGGCGGGGUAACGGCCCACCAAAGCGACGAUCAGUAGCCGACCUGAGAGGGUGACCGGCCACAUUGGGACUGAGACACGGCCCAAACUCCUACGGGAGGCAGCAGUGGGGGAAUAUUGCACAAUGGGGGAAACCCUGAUGCAGCAACGCCGCGUGAGUGAAGAAGUAUUUCGGUAUGUAAAGCUCUAUCAGCAGGGAAGAAGAUGACGGUACCUGAUUAAGAAGCCCCGGCUAACUACGUG